rnacentral:tRNA from 1 species
ACCUGCCUGGCUCAGUCAGUAGAGCAUGCAACUCUUGAUCUCAGAGUCAUGGGUUCGAACCCCAUAUUGGGUG